AUCAGCGUCAGGCAUGAGCGACAUUGCAGCUCGCCCUCUGUCUCCUGUUGCUGACGAUCCUUCAGCUCUACCGUCUCCCCCCUCCUCUCCCUCCUCCAGUCAGUAACUCUUCUUGCCUGUUCCCUCGAUGCCAGCCCCUGGAUGCCAGCUGUUGUACUGGACUACUGUACUUUUCAAGAGGGAGCAUGGCCCUGCUGACACCCUGAUCUCGGACUUCAAGUCUCCAGAACUGGAGGAAACACAUGUAUCCACCAAGAAGACUGCUCACCCCUCCAUCAUUUCUGAGUUCUGACUUGGGCUUCGAAUAAUCCUGCUAAGAUGAAAUCCAUUUCUGUGGCAUAAAUGGACAGUUGGUGUUCAUAAAUUUCAAUUGAUUUUUAUGACUAUAAAAUAUUAUGUCAUUAUAAGCACCUCUUAUAAUUGAAGUAAACCAAAAUCUCCAAUAAAUCAUCUUUUU